rnacentral:lncRNA from 10 species
UCCAGGAUGGACAACCCAGCUGGCUCAUGCUCCGUUUUGAUGAGGUUCUGGGAAGCAAGCCAGGUGAUGUGAACCUGCUGAAAUGCUGCAGGGAUUUCAGGCAAGUUAGCCUUGGCAGUGAGAACAGAUACAAAGAGAGAAGGAGAUAAGGAAGUUUCCUGAUGCCCACAAAGUUUAAAUAACGGACUCGAGGUUACCCAGCAAUAAAUGUUGAAAAAGAGUUUAAAUUAGUUGGCUUUCAGAGUUUGUGUUUUGGACAACUAUAUUCUACUUUGGACAGCACUGUAUUUUCUCAUUGUAAAAGCAGGCAGGAUGGAGUAAAAAAUAAAAGUCAAAACAAUUUGAAAACAAUAUUUUGUGAUGAACAUAAAACAUUUUCUACAAUCAGCAUCCUUCAUUUGAUUGUCUUACUUUAUUAUCUGGUAAGUGCCAAAAGAAGACAAAGUGUAGAUGUAUUUUCCUUAGUUUACUUUUAGCUCCCUUUAUUUCAAGCCUCACAGUCAAUGUGUUCCCUGCCUUAUGUUUCAAGGGGGCUCCAGGGUAUUUUUUCUCCCAUGUGAUUACAAAAGCAGUUAGCCGUUUAGCCUAGCAGGGGGAAUGAGAGGAAACGGAGAGGCCAAAAAUUUUAAACUUUAGGCACUAUAUCUCCAAUAACUGACAACAUUUUAUCUUAAUUAUGCUUUAUAGUAUUGGAAUACUAAACAAAGAGGAACGACCUGCUUACUCUGUAGUCUGGAGCAGAAUGAAAUAGAACACGUAGGGCAGAACACAACAAAUGAGUUGUAAAUGUCUGUGCACAAGGCUUGAUCUUGGGGAUGGAGGGAGGAUAUUUUUUAAGUUAUUCAAACGCUGAGUUGCUUUCAAAGAGUUCUUCUCAGACAUCAACAAUGAACUCUUCAGAUACCCUCAUCCCAGACAGCCCUGAAGUCCAGUUUAUAACAAGACCAAUAACUCACUCCUUAUCUCUAAAGCUACUUGUUCAAUUCUCUUGACUUCAGGGCCAAAAUGAGUUGUUUAUUACUUAUGGCAAGUAUAAAAAAGGCCAUCUCAACCUGUGGUCAGUUCCACGAAUGGCAACUUGUUUUCUGAUAACUUGCAUGCACAUGGACAAUAGCCAAAUUUCCAAAAAGAUUUAGGUACAUCAAUUGUAUACCGAUG